UAUAUACUCCAUCCGUCCCAAAAUUCUUGUUUUAGAUUUGUCUAGAUACGGAUGUAUCUAAUACUAAAACAUGACUUGAUACAUCCGUAUUUAGACAAAUCAAAGACAAGAAUUUUGGGACGGAGGGAGUAUAUA
rnacentral:pre_miRNA from 1 species